rnacentral:rRNA from 1 species
GACGAACGCUGGCGGCGUGCCUAAUACAUGCAAGUAGGACGCAGUUGCGAACGGGUGAGUAACGCGUAGGUAACUGCCUCUUAGAGGGGGAUAACUAUUGGAAACGAUAGCUAAUACCGCAUACUAGUAGAUGGACCUGCGUUGUAUUAGCUAGUAGGUAGGGUAAUGGCGUACCUAGGCAACGAUACAUAGCCGACCUGUGAGGGUGAUCGGCCACACUGGGAAUGAGACACGGCCCAGACGCCUACGGGAGGCAGCAGGAGGGAAUCUUCGGCAAUUGGGGGAAACCUGACCGAGCAACGCCGCGUGAGUGAAGAAGGUUUUCGGGUCGUAAAGCUCUGUUGUUAAGGAAGCGGUACUUAACCAGAAAGGUACGGCUAACUACGUGCCAGCAGCCGCGGUAAUUC